UACGUAGGGUGCAAGCGUUAAUCGGAAUUACUGGGCGUAAAGCGUGCGCAGGCGGUUCGCUAAGACCGAUGUGAAAUCCCCGGGCUUAACCUGGGAACUGCAUUGGUGACUGGCGGGCUAGAGUAUGGCAGAGGGGGGUAGAAUUCCACGUGUAGCAGUGAAAUGCGUAGAGAUGUGGAGGAAUACCGAUGGCGAAGGCAGCCCCCUGGGCCAAUACUGACGCUCAUGCACGAAAACGUGGGGAGCAAACAGG
rnacentral:rRNA from 1 species